rnacentral:lncRNA from 1 species
UACUUUGAAAAAUUUAUUUUGCUAUCAAAUCAAAUUCGGCAUUCUUGAAUUGUUUGAUUUUAUCUUUCAAGGAAUUUUUCUAAUUCAAUUGGAGUGAUCACCUAAUUAAAUUGGGAAUUUUCCCUAUCAUCAUUUAAGUGCAAAUUGAGGAAUCGAAUUUCUCAAUUAAGCUUAGAAUUAGUGAUAAUUAAUUGGCCGCAGCUAAUUAAGACAACUUCGGAUUUAAUCUUAGAAGCCGCUGGUGGAUUUUCUUUGGUUAAGGCAAGGCGAAGUCUCUAAAUCUCUUAAAUUCCUUUAACAAAGUCGACACAAAGAUAAUUUAAGGAAGGUUUCAAUCAUGAACGUUCUCUAAUUGAAUAAAUUACUAGGGAUAGGAAAUUGCUUCGUAAGCGAUUUUUUUUCUCAACCUUGCUGCUAAUUUGAUUUCUCAAUUUCAGGUUUCAAAGGACUUGUGCUGGGUGGAUUAAGGCGUCAAUGACUAAGCAUUAUUCUUCUCUUGAUAUUUUCAUCUCAGCAGUUUUAAUUUGAGCCAAAGCUUAUUUGUUAUUUGAGAUUAUUUUUAUCAAUCGUAACACAUAAACCCCCCCACUUUUCCUUUUUAUUUCGCAUGCUUUUACAUUAAUUUAAUUUUAAAUCACUUCAAAUAGGUUUGUUGCGAGCUUCUUCGUGGGACGAUCCUGUACUUACUCUAUAUUACCAGUUAAUAUUGGUUGAGUAGAGGAAUUAAAUUCGGUG